rnacentral:lncRNA from 1 species
UCCAGUUUGUUGUCCGAUAUCAAUUCUGAUUUUCUGACAAUGCCUUCUGAGAAUCGAAAACGUAAAUGUAAGCAAUGAAAUAGUUAUCAAAUAAUCAAUUUAUUAAAAAAAUUUGGCGAAAAUAUAAUUUGAUUUUUUUUGUUUUAAUGAUAUCAGCAAUCGAGACAAAAUCUGAGGGGCUGAAAAAGAAGAAGAAUAAAGAUACAAUAUCAUUUGAUAGCACAAGUGUAGGUUCAAGCAUGUGCAAGGAGAAGGCUGAGACUAGUAAUGCUGCUGCACUAGUGGUGAAGGCUAAAAGGGAAAGGACUGAGGAUAAUCUGCAUAUCAGUAAGUAUUUGUAAGUGAUAUUUAUUUAUCAAUUUUAUUCAAUAUUAAGAAGUAUCUAUUACUUUCAGUAAAUGACCUGAUCAGACAUCGAUCCGGUAUCCCUACAUAUGUCGAUGUUGUCCGUAAGGGUAAAAUAAAAUUCCCCAGAUCGAUAGUGCUAAAAAUGAAAGACACUUGCUUUGGUCAAUUUUUUGGGAUGGUGGAUUUUCCGAUAAAAUCCAGACUUUUGGACGAUUUGGUCGGAGCAUAUGUCGGCAAUUACUGUUUUAAGAUCAAAGGGAAAAAAAUAGAAGUCUCUGUGAAAGAAAUUGGCGAUAUACUCAGGAUUCCGUGUU